UUCGUGGCUAGGUUAAUUUAAACCCCCAAUUUGUGGUAUUGGAAAUAUGUUUACAUGCUUCGAAG
rnacentral:tRNA from 1 species